rnacentral:rRNA from 1 species
AAGGGCACCACAAGAACGCGUGGAGCAUGUGGCUUAAUUUGACUCAACGCGGGAAAUCUUACCGGGUCCGGACAUACUGAGGAUUGACAGGUGCAAAAAUGUAAUUUAUUAUAUUCAUUUAUAACAUAUUACAUUAUCAAAUAUGCUAGUCCUUUCAUGAUUGUGUGAUAGGUGGUGCAUGGCCGUUCUUAGUUCGUGGAGUGAUCUGUCUGCUUAAUUGCGUUUCAUAAUAGCUCCUUAUAGACUUUUCUAUUGAUAUCAGCCUUAAUACUUGAGAAUGAUCGUGUUAUAUAUAUAUAUAUAUAUGANUUAAUUUUCGUAUAUUAUAUUAUAUAAUUAUGUGAAUUUUUUGAGCUAAGGAUUUGAUUCAAAGUAAAAGCUGGAGCCUGAAGGCAACGAACGUGACCGCAACCUCUUGUUGCCUCAUUCUUAAUAUGAAUGAUAUAUUUAUUUGUUUUAUUACAUUUAAAUGUAUUAUUUAUAUGUGUUAUGUAUUUGAUAGUAUAUGAAUGUUAUGUGACAUGUGUAUAAUAUUAUAUAUAUAUAUAUAUUAUAUAUGANAUGAUUUGUAUUGUUAGAAUUUAUUUUAAUGAUAUUAAAUUAUAUUAUAUAUAUAUGUGUAUAUGUGGUUUUUAUACGNGUUAUAUGAUUUUNUUUAUGUAUUUAAUCAUUUUGCAUAAAUUGAGGNAAACGAGAGGGACCGCUAGGCUAGCUUUUUAAAACAGAGGAAGGUUGCGGCAAUAACAGGUCUGUGAUGCCCUCAGAUGUUCCGGGCUGCACACGUGCUACAAUGAUUAUUGCAGUGAGCAUCUCAACAUUGUGAUUUUAGUUUAUUAUGAUUAUAUAUUUAUAUAUUAUAAUGUAUUUAUUUAUGUUAUUUUAUAUUAUAUUAAUUGUUUAUUCUAAAAAUUUAAUCACAUAGCCUACUUCGGCAGUCAGUAGGUAAUCAAUUAGAAGUAAUGAUUUCCCCUUUUUUAUUUAAAUGUAUUUCAAAUUUAUUUUUUUAAUAUGUUUAUUUAAAAUUGAUGCACACUUUUAUGUCUAUGUUUCUAUUAACAUAUUAGGAUAUUAAUACUAUUUAUUAAUAGUUUAAUUUCUAAUUUUGUUAUAGUUACUGACAUGUGCUCUCAUGUUUUAUUAAAUGUUCAAUUCGUGGUGGGGACAGACCAUUGUUAAUUGUUGGUCUCGGUCUCAACUAGGAAUGCCUUGUACGGGUCUUUGGUUCAACAAACCACCCGGAAUAUGUCCCUGCCCUUUGUACACACCGCCCGUCGCUCUUACCGAUGGACUACUCUGUGAGUUUGAGGGACUGGUUUGAAUUUUAAAGUAUAUGUAUAUUUAUUUAUAUAUAUUACUUUUUAUAUAAUUCAGGCUAUGGAAACUCAUACGAACAGUGUGGUCUAAAGGAAAGAGAAGUCGUAACAAGGCAUCGGUAGGUGAACCU